UGGGGCUGAGUUUGUGGGGGGAGGGGACCGGAAAUGACCCCAAAAUCGCCCGAAAUGAACCCAAAAAUUCACCAAAAAAUUCCCAAAAAUUCCCAAAAAUAUUCCCAAAAAAAUAAACCAAAAUUUCCUAAAAACAUUCCCAAAAAAUUCCCCAAAUUCCCAAAAAUUCACCAAAAAAAUUCCCCAAAAUCCCAAAAAUUCCCCAAAAAUAUUCCCAAAAAAAUCAUCAAAAUAUCCCCAAAAUAUUCCAAAAAUGUCCCCGAAAAAUCCCCCAAAAUUCCCCAAAAACCCCAGAAAAUUCCCAAAAUUAUUCCCAAAAAUUCCCAAAAAUAUUCCCCAAAAUAUUCCCAAAAUGUCCCAAAAAUUCCCCAAAAAAUUCACCAAAAAAACCCCAAAGUUCCCAAAAAUAUUCCCCAAAAAUUCCCCAAAAAUCUCAAAAAAUCCCCAAAAUUCCCAAAAAUAUUCCUCAAAAAAUUCCCCAAAAUAUCCCCCAAAAUUCACCAAAAUAUCCAAAAAAUGUCCCCCCAAAAAAUCCCCAAAAUUCCCCAAAAUAUUCCCCAAAAAUUCACCGAAAUAUCCUGAAAUAUUCCCCAAAAAUUCCCAAAAAAACCCCAAAAUAUUCCCUAAAAUAUUCCCAAAAUUCCCAAAAAUAUUCCCAAAAAAUCCCCAAAAUUUGCCAAAAAAUUCCCAAAAUUCACCAGAAUAUUCCCAAAAUAAUCCCCAAACUUUACCCAAAAAUUCCCCAAAAAUAUCCCCAAAAAAUCCCAGAAAAAUCCCCAAAAAUGCCCCAAAAAUUCCAAAAAAUUCCCAAAAAUUCCCCAAAAUUAUCCCAGAAAAAUCCCCCAAAAUGCCCCAAAAAUCCCCAAAAAAUUCCCAAAAAUUCCCCAAAAAUAUCCCCAGAAAUAAUAAUAAAAAAUCCCAAAAAAUGACCCCAAAAUUCCCCAAAAUUUACCCAAAAAUUCCCCAAAAAUAUCCCCAAAAAAUCCCCAAAAAUCCCCAAAAAUGCCCUAAAAAUUCCCAAAAAAUUCCCAAAAAUUCCCCAAAAAUAUCUUUAAAAAUAAAAAAAAAUCCAAAAAAAUGCCCCAAAAAUUCCCAAAUAAUUCUCAAAAAUUCCCCAAAAAUAUCCCCAAAAAAUCCCAGAAAAAUGCCCCAAAAAUCCCAAAAAAAUUCCCAAAAAUUCCCAAAAAAUAUCCCCAAAAAAUCCCAGAAAAAUCCCAAAAA
rnacentral:lncRNA from 1 species